GUAAAUCAUUGAGGUGGGAUGAUGGGGGGCGUUGUUCUGCUUUUCCUGAUUAGCUGAAAAUUUAAAAGUUAAACAUAAAGGGAAACAACUCUUUGCUUUGUAUUCUUCUGUUGGGACGCAAAACCACUGAUAUUGUUGUGGAUGCUAUGGAUCAUUUUAUUUAUUUUUUUACUCCAAAUGAAUUGUUGUGGUAUUCUCUUAAUUCAUUUUAAAUGGAGGUACGUUUGUAAGUGGAGCUGUUUGGAAGGUCUCCAUCUCUAAGCAGAAAUCACUUCUCAGCUGAGAAUGGUUCACUGGAACAGGUUGCCCAAGGAGGUUGUGGAUGCCCCAUCCCUGGAGGCAUUCAAGGCCAGGCUGGAUGUGGCUCUGGGCAGCCUGGGCUGGUGGUUGGCAACCCUGCACAUAGCAGGGGGUUGGAACUGGAUGAGCACUGUGUUCCUUUUCAACCCAGGCCAUUCUGUGAUUCUGUAUUUGGCACAAAAGUUUUCAGUUCGGGUGGUGUGGAGCAGAGUGGCUCCUGUCACAGCCUGAGAAGGUUAUCGGAAGGUGCAGUUGUAAUAUAAUAUGUGGUAAAUAUUUUUCAUCCAUUAGUGGCUGAUAAAAGCAGUGCAUCACCACUGCGUGGCAUCGGGGGGAUGGAGGGCAGGAGCCGGGUCGUUAACUUAAGAGGUAUGGAGCCAUCAGUCAUCUUCCUGCUCUGGGAGGCAGAGCGUGCAGUGACAUCACAGCGUGUACGUGUGUGUGUGUAUUAAUGCUAACCAGAUCAACAGAAGCAGCAAAUCUCUUUGGAUUUUCUGUUUGCUUCCAUAUUUCCUCCUUCUCUGUUUUCUUUUCCGGUUUUGUUUCUGAUUUCCUUUCUCUCUUCUGAAGGUUUUCACUGAAUUUUUUCCUUAUCCCCCUCCUUCCCCCCCAGACCAGCACAAAGUGUGAGGAUUGUCAUGGGCUGCACCACAGUCUGUGCUCUCCUUGCCUUCCCUCAAGUGCUCUGACCUGGCUGCUGAUUCUGGAAAGGAAACUGCAUGAGACCUCAUUCUACACUGACCCUAAUAAAAUAGAUUACUAAUAUAAAUCGUAAACUAUUUACUGCAGUGCUAAGUACAGACUGAUAUAAUUCUGUGCAGUCAUUGUGUGCUUUUCCUACGAAAAGCAGGAUUCAACCUUUUUAUGUGUAAAGCGAUACUGAGCCAUAACUACCUUAUAAUAUUGCUGCAUUAUUCUAUAGUUACAGUCCUAAACACCAC
rnacentral:lncRNA from 1 species